AAGGCUACAUAGAGAAGAGAAAUCCUGUCCCAGAAAUCAAACAAGUGUGUGGGGGGGGAAUAUAUACAUACAUACAUACACCCACACACACAUACACACAGCUUUUCUUGGAAUUU
rnacentral:miRNA from 1 species